rnacentral:rRNA from 1 species
AAAGAGGCCCAUAAGGGCGCACGGUGGAUGCCUAGGCAUAAAGUAGCGAUGAAGGACGCGGCGUAGCGGCGAUACGCCUCGGGGAGGUGCGUAGCAACCUUUGAUCCGGGGAUGUCCGAAUAGGGAAACCUGUCAGAGCAAACCUCUGUCGCUUUCACACAUAAGUGGUGAAAGAGCAUACCCAGCGAAGUAAAACAUUCCAGUAGCUGGAGGAAAAGAAAGAAAAUUCUAUUCCCCAAGUAGCGGCGAGCGAAAAGGGAAAAGCCCAAACCAGAGACCUUAUUAAGUUUGAGGUAUCCGGUGUUGUAAGAUGAGAACUUCUUCGUAUUUGAGUGAUGGCCGGAACUUAAGGUCAUCACUUAGAUACGGAGGGAGAGUUACAAAUUCAUUUGCUAGCAGAAUCUUCCUGGAAAGGAGAACCGUAGGAGGUGAUAGUCCUGUAAGCGAAAGCGAAUGAACUCUCUGUUUUCAAUCUUGAGUACCCCAAGACACGAAAGUAUUGGGGGAAUCAUCCUGUACUACCGGGAAAGGCUAAAUAUACUUUAUGACCGAUAGUGAACAAGUACCGUGAGGGAAAGGUGAAAAGUAGUCCGGAGAGGACGGUGAAAUAGACCUGAAACCGUGUGCCUACAAGGAGUCGGAGCCCGAAGCUCAUCUCGCAAGAGAUGGGUUGGGUGACGGCGUGCUUUUUGCAGAACGACCCAACGAGUCUAUGUGUGCUGCAAGCUUAAACUGCAUUGCAGUGGAGGCGUAGCGAAAGCGAGUGUUAAUAGCGCGUCCUAGUAGCACGUAUAGGACCCGAAGCCAGGCGAUCUUACCUUGGCCAGGGUGAAAGUUGUCGAAGGACAACUGGAGGCCCGCACCAGUAUGUGACGCAAAGCGUUUGGAUGAGCUGAGGUAAGCAGUGAAAAGCUAAUCGAGCUUGGUAAUAGCUGGUUCUCUCCGAAACAGUUUUAGGACUGGCGUCGUGAUGUUUCUUUCCGGGGGUAGAGCACUGGAUGGUUCGUGCCGGGCGCAAGCCUAGCGAGCCAAUCAAACUCCGAAUACCGGGAAGCGUAGUCCGGCAGUUAGACUGCGGGGGAUAAGCUCCGUGGUCGAAAGGGAAACAGCCCAGAUCGUCGUCUAAGGUCCCUAAGUAUUUGUUAAGUGUUAAAGGUUGUGAAUUGCCAGUGACAGGUAGGAGGUUGGCUUAGAGGUAGCCAUCCUUUAAAGAAAGUGUAACAACUCACUGCUCGAUGGCAGUUUGCGCCGAAGAUUCAUGGGGCUCAAACAAGUCACCGAAGACACGAAUUUCCUGAUUCAAUUCAGGGAGUGGUAGGAGAGCAUUCUAAGCUGCGCCGAAGUAGGAGCCGUGAGGCCCUAUGGAGCGCUUAGAAGAGAGAAUGUUGGGAUGAGUAACCGCAAAGCAGGUGAGAAACCUGCUCCCCGAAAGUCCAAGGUUUCCGUGGCAAUGGCAAUCAUCCACGGGUUAGGCGGGCCUAAGGCGAUGGCGAAAGCCGCAGUCGAUGGACAGCUGGUCAACAUUCCAGCCCAUCAAUACGGUCCGAUGGAGUGACGGAGCAAAUAAGGCACAGUGGAUUAUUGGUUUUCUAUCGCUUGUUCCAAGAGUUGUAUCUUAGGCAAAUCCGGGAUACGCAAGACUCGGGAUCCGGCGGAAGGUUUGGUUUUUGCCAGGCCGACUGUGUUGAAGAGGCUUCCCAGAAAAACUUCUAAGGUUAAUCGUAUUGAUUCCGUACCGCAAAACCAACACAGGUGGACAGGGCGAGUAGCCCAAGGGGAACGAGUGAUUCCUCGCUAAGGAACUCGGCAAAAAAGCGACCGUAACUUUGGGAUAAGGUCUGCCCUUCGCAAGAAGGGCCGCAGCGAAAGUAUCUCUGGCGACUGUUUAACAAAAACACAGCUCCCUGCGAACUCGUAAGAGGAUGUAUAGGGGGUGACGCCUGACCGAUGCGGGAAGGUUAACGUUGGGAGUGUAUUUACCUUUGGGUAGAUAUGCCCACUGACCGAAGCCCCCGUCAAUGUCAGCGGUAACUAUAACCGUUCUAAGGUAGCGCAUUUCCUUUCCGGGUAAUUUCCGGAGCGCACGAAUGGCGUAACGACUGGAGAACUGUCUCAGCGAGGAGCUCGGUGAAAAUGCAAUUCCCGUGAAGAUGCGGGAUACCUACAGUGGGACGAGAAGACCCCGGGAGCUUUACUGCAGCUUGGUAUUGGCUAUAAGGCUUGUAUGCGUAGCGUAGUGGGGAGGCUUUGAAGCUUUGACUUCGGUUAAAGUGGAGCCGCCAAUGAAACACCCAUCUUACAAUUUUUAUAGUCUAACCUGGACGGCAAAAACGGACAGGAACAGUGCCUGGCGGGCAGUUUAAAUGGGGCGUUUUCCUUAACGUGAUAGUGUACUUCGUGCUAUCGCAGGGGGACACUUGCCAUCUUUUGAUGGCAGUGAAAAAUCUGGCUGUAUGCUGGAACCUCCGUGGUAUCUGUUUGUACCCUUGUCGAAAGGGUGAAAAUCAAACAGUGGCCUCCGAUGUUAUAUCGGAGCGGCGGACAAUCAGCAGGAAACCUGGCAAUCAGGGAUCCUCAGAGACUAUACGCCAGAGCAACCGCAAAGGGCGGUUGUAAGAUAUAGUCCGAACUCUAUGGCGACAUAGAGGAUCGCGCUGGAGACAGCGUGACACCCAAAACAAUGAGAUCAAAUGAAAUUGAGAGCCACAAGAAACAAUUGCGGCUCAGCAAGAAACAAAGAUCAAUUCUUGUCGGAAAGAUCUUAGGCGAUGGUCACCUUGAAACUCAAAAUCAAGGUAAGACAUAUCGCCUCAAGGUGGAGCAUUCCAUAGAUCAAAAAGAGUACGUAGAUUGGCUUUACGAACAAUUCAAGGACUUUGUUCGUAGAGAGCCAUAUACAAAGAAGAAGCAGCUGGGCGGCAAGUCGUUUACUAGCUACGGCUUCACUACAUACUCGCUGGGAGCAUUCCGUUUCUAUGCCCAACAAUUUUAUGAUGGGCAAAAGAAAGUGAUACCAGGAUUGAUUAAGAAACUGAUUGAUCCCUUAGUGUUAGCAGUAUGGUUUAUGGAUGACGGAUCAUUUAAAUCCGCACAUCAUAGGACAUACAUCAUUCAUACACUGGGAUACAAGAGACAAGAGCUUGAUUUGAUCAAAGAUGUGCUUCAAGAACAGUUUGGUAUAGACGUCAGAUUACAUCGACAGUACGACAAGUGGAGGUUGUAUUUAGCGAGUGGAUCUGCAGCGCGGUUCAGAGAGUUGAUCGAACCGUAUGUUGUACCGACAUUGAAGUACAAACUGGGGAACAAAAUGCCUAAAGAGUAACGGAGGAGUUUAUUAAGGUUAGCUUGGUGCGGAUGGAAAUCGCGCCUAAAGUAUAAAGGCAUAAGCUAGCUUGACUGCAAGACCUACAAGUCGCGCAGGUGCGAAAGCAGAACUUAACGACCCGACAGCCCUUCGUAGAACGGCUGGAGACAUCGGAUAAAAGCUACCCCGGGGAUAACAGGCUAGUCUUCCCCGAGAGUCCAUAUCGACGGGA